UUAUUUUUAUUUUUAGUUACAGCAGGAAACAGAAGCAACUCGAUGACUCAGUGAUUACUAACUAACUAAGUGGAGAACAAAGCAUGCAACGAGCAGUGGCAGCGUAGAUAAGCGAUUGGAUUCAGCAUAUUAUGCAUGGGGAGGCGGAAGGAGAAGAAGGAGCCACUCAUUGUGGUCAGCCAACGUUGCCAGACAGCUGGUCUGCACAAUUGGCAAAGGUCAGCGCCAACAACAAAACAACUGCAGUCUGCAGCAUCAACAGCAGCGGAAGCAAAUGGCUAUUCACAAUGGAUUCAAGAGAAGAGAUAAUACAGUAUUAUCGAUUGGCCAAAAACUUGUCUACGGCAAUAUUUACAUUCGACUGCAUUGCAGUUGACUGAGAGCUAAAUGUGA